GGACGCUGUGGGAAAAGGUGGCCUCUUCUUGAAAGCUACCACCGAAGGAUGAGCCUGCGUCCCAUCAGCUAGUUGGUAAGGUAAUGGCUUACCAAGGCGAAGACGGGUAGCUGGUUUGAGAGAAUGAUCAGCCACACUGGCACUGGAACACGGGCCAGACUCCUACGGGAGGCAGCAGUGAGGAAUAUUGGGCAAUGGGCGAAAGCCUGACCCAGCCACGCCGCGUGAGUGAUGAAGGCCCUCGGGUCGUAAAGCUCUGUGGAGAGGGACGAAAACCCUGGUUUCAAAUAGGCUCCAGGCUUGACGGUACCUCUUUAGCAAGCACCGGCUAACUCUGUG
rnacentral:rRNA from 1 species